rnacentral:rRNA from 1 species
UACGAAGGGGGCUAGCGCUGCUCGGAAUCACUGGGCGUAAAGCGCACGUAGGCGGCUUUCUAAGUCAGGGGUGAAAUCCUGGAGCUCAACUCCAGAACUGCCUUUGAUACUGGAGAGCUUGAGUCCGGGAGAGGUGAGUGGAACUGCGAGUGUAGAGGUGAAAUUCGUAGAUAUUCGCAAGAACACCAGUGGCGAAGGCGGCUCACUGGCCCGGUACUGACGCUGAGGUGCGAAAGCGUGGGGAGCAAACAGG